CAACGUGUUUGAGACAACCCAUCCCGACGCAGUAUAUAUAGUUAUGUAAUGAUACUCCUUUAAAUGAUCCAAAGGACCACAAAGUACAGACACCAUCUCUAAGAAGAAGCUUUUAACUUUCGACAAAGCAUCAAGACGCACGUUGAGCGGUUCGCCCGUGGUCGUCGCUCUGCGGGGCUAUCCAGCCUUGAAUCGAUUUCCCGCUGACCUUCAGGUCGGACACGGGCGUGCCGCCGCCGAGACCCACCCCCAUCGCCAUCAGGAGCGCUGACAACGGCGCUGUCCUAUCGUACAAUGAGUGCAUGAGCACCUUGACUGGGGAAAGUAGGAGGUCCUCAAAAGAGGGUGUGGCCUAAGAAAGAAGGAGGUGUUUGAGUGACUGCCAAGGAAGGGGGCGGCACUGAAAAACUGCAGCCUAUCAGGAUGCGGGUAGAAAUGGACCAAUCAGAGGGGACCUCCAUGGUCAAUUGGAAUUAAGGCGUCUUUGUCCGGGCUUUUACUGCCGUAAGACUGAUGUGUGGCAGCACAAUGGCGGCAGGAAGGAUUUAGAAGCGUCAACAACAACACGGGAGGAGAAAAGGAGCACAAAUUGGAGCUUGAAAAAAAUAAAAAAAAUUGGAAAAAUAGCUCUUUCCCACUCGCUCGUCCCCACCCCCCCUUCCUCCGACCUUUGGGCCCUCUCUCUGGCUGCUGUUCAGCGGGUCGGAGUGGGUCAAAGGUCACCUCGACACCCACACAGACCUCCAACCUCUCCCCGUCGCCCAGCUGAACUCUGCACGGUGCCUCCAGCCAAGAUGGAGGAAGAAACGCAAAAAAACUUUUUUUUUUGUUAUUAUUAAAAAUAAUAUUAUAUAACCAACACCCUAAAUAUUAUUAGAUUAAUACUCUGCGUCUGAAUGAUUUUCUGUGACGCCCCCAGAAGAAAAAAAAGAACAAAACAUUCCUCUUCGCCAUGACUACAAAUAGUAUCUUUUGUCUAUAAAAUGUUAUAAGUACACCUCUGCAUGACAUUGUAUAUUUAUUUAAACAUAUAAAUACUAUCAUUUGUCUAUAACAUUUUAUUAGUACACCUCUGCAUUACAUUUUAUAUUUAUUUACACACAUAAAUAAUAUAAUUUGUCCAUGAAAUGA